UGGAUACUAAGUGCUGUGCGUAUCGACCUGCGCAGUGCUGUAGCUAACGCGUUAAGUAUCCCGCCUGGGGAGUACGUUCGCAAGAAUGAAACUCAAAGGAAUUGACGGGGGCCCGCACAAGCGGUGGAGCAUGUGGUUCAAUUCGAUGCAAAGCGAAGAACCUUACCAGGGCUUGACAUGCCGUGAAUCCUCCCGAAAGAGAGGAGUGCCUUCGGGAACGCGGACACAGGUGGUGCAUGGCUGUCGUCAG
rnacentral:rRNA from 1 species